CAGGCCCGCGUGCCCCCCGAGUGCCAUGUGUGGUGGUGGUGGUGGUGGUGAUGAUUAUUAUACCAAGCGAUCAACCAGCGGAGUGUGAAGGCCGUUGCGGUGGUGAUGACUGCGCUGGUGUUGGUGUUGCGGCGGUGUUGGUCGUUUUAUAGUGAUGACUGGUAUUGCUCGAGCUGGUGUUGAAUUCGCAGUGCUGGUGUUGAUGAUACGUGGUGAUGACUGGCUGGUGUUAUGACUUCUAGCGGCUAUGAAGACGUAUCGUGAGGUCAUUCAGGUCACUAACUCCCCCCCACUCCCCCCUCCCUCCGCGUGUGUGUGUGUGUGUGUGUGUAACUGUAAGGUAACAAACUAGCUUCGUUAUGAGGGAGGAAGUAGAAGAUAAGAGUGCGUGAAGAGCCAUUCCCCGCCUCAGAAUGGUGCCUUUCGCGGCCUGAAGACGCUGGUGGGCUUAGGGACGACAUACUUACAGGUCAGGGCCGCGGAGGGAGGGACAGGAAGACGCAGGAACAGAGGGAGGGAGGAAGACGUGGAAUAAUGAUAAAGAAAAACACACAAAGAUGGAAAAACAAAUACAGGAAGACAACACGGAAAGGUAGAUACGCAAAACACAAAGACAGAAACUUAUAGAGAUAGUCACAGGAAGACCCAGGAACAGAGGGAGGAAGGAAGAUUCAGAAUAAUGAUAAGGAAACACACAGGAGAAUAGAAAAAAACAGACACCGGAAGACUGGCUCCUUUGUUGUAAAAAAAAAAAAAAAUAAAGACAGAAACAGAGAACACAAUGACAAACACGCAGAUAGUCAGGAGUGAGGAAGAGAGACUUGGAUUAAGGGCAAAAUAAAACAAGAAAAUCUAAGGAAAUGGCAAUAGAAGAGGGGCGACAUACAGUUCAGGGCCGUAGAAAAGAGGGAAUAGAAAGACACAAAGACAGAAUAAGGAAGAAAGACAAAGAAACACAGAUAAAACACAGAGUAACACAGAAUGGCAGGAACACACAAACACACACACAGAAACACAUGAAGGUAUAGUAAGAAAGAGAAACACAGAUUCAUAACAACAUAAAAACUAGAAAACGAAACACAAGGAAACAGCAAAAGAAAUAAAUGUACCGGGGAAUUGUGAGAAGGCAAGAUGGGGAUAAAUGACAAAGAAAACAGGAAAACCCCGGGAAAUAGGGACAGCGGGGGACAGGAAGGCAGGGAUUACGGGGAAAAGAAUCAAUAAAACCCACGGGGAGAGAGAGAGAGAGAGAGAGAGAGAGAGAGAGAGAGAGAGAGAGAGAGAGAGAGAGAGAGAGAGAGAGAGAGUUGCGAUGAGACUGCAAGUAGGGAGACAGGGAUUAAGGGGCAGAAUAAACAGUAAAAGACGGAGAAGAAGGUGACGUAGGGAGAUGAUAAGACAGGGAGACAGAUAAGAUUACAGGCUUGGGAAAACAUUGAACUUACAGGUAUAGGAAGAGAUGGUGGCAGAGAGACAGGUUGAGAUAGAGAGACAACUUAUAACCUCAGAAAGACCCAUAGACAGAGACAGACACAGGGACACAGACGAGGGCACAGAAAAUUAUGAACGAGAUUGUGACAGAGAGACAGAAUGAGACGGAAAGAAAAUUUAUGAGCAUAGUAAAGCCCCACAAACAGACACAGACACGGGCACAGAAAAUAAUGAACGAGAUUGUGACACAGAGACAGAAUGAGAGAGAAAGGAGAGUUAUGAGCAUAGGAAGACCCACAAACACAUCCAGAAACAACAAUGAGUAUAGGAAACAUUAGUAUACAAAGAAACGAACACAACCACAUCAAAGACACAGUAAGACACGGAAACACGGGAAAUAGGGCACUGGAAACGGACACAUAGAGACACACAACGAAGCUAUUCAGGAACACAUGAUUGAGAGCCUAAACGAACAGAGAAGAGGACACAUCAACACACCAAAUAGACACAGUAGAACACGGAAAUACGGUAAAUAGGGCACAGGAAACGGAUAUAUGAACACCCAACACACAGCAGAGGUAUACAGGAACAGAUGAUUAAGAGCCUGAACAUUCACCCACUCACAGGAAACAGAGGUGUAGGUUAGGGACGCAGGGACACGGGGAUUGCACCAAGGACUAGUGACCCUGUGCCCCGCUUACUCAUGGGUUCCCUUCACUUAAUUAAUGCACGUCGCAGUAGUAAGAAGGAGGAAGUAAGCAGUCAGGCAGGCAGGGAGGAAGAGAGAGAGAGGGAGAGGGUCACCGUGGAAGCGUGUUGACUGUCUCUUGAAGGUGACUCGUGGAUGCUGGCGAUGGUGAGCCGCGAGAGUGAGACAGUGACGUAGAGGAUAAGACAGAAAGACACGUGUAUAGAAAGACCUUUAGACAGACACAGACAUAAGGUCACAGACGGGGAUAUAAGAGGCGGCAAACAGGCACAUAGAUGGGUAGAUAAAUAUAGAGUGAUAGAAUGAUGAACUUUCGAAGGUGAUAUGUGGGAUGGUGACGAGAAUAAGGUGUGAGAGUGAAGGAAAAUGAAUGUGAUAGUGAGUUAUAACUUUGAGAGUGAGGCAUCCAGUGGCGAUAAACAGAUAGAUGGAUAGAUAGAUGAAGAGAUGAACUUUCGAGUGAUUAUGUAGGAUAGUGAUGAGAAUAACGUGUGGGAAUGGAGGAAAUUAAAUAUGAUAGUGAAUUUUAACCGUGAGAGUGAGACAUCGAGAGGUAUGUAUAGAGAGCUAGAUAGAUAGACAGAUAGAUAAACUUACUUUCCAAUGGUGAUCUGUUGAAUAGUGACAUGACGAUAAAGAGCUGUGUGACUAAAGGAAGUGAAACAUGAUAGUGAGACAUCCGGUGGCAACAAACACACUGACUAACGCAAUGCCGAUGGUGUGUGAAGGCGUAGCGAUCGUCCUCUGAAGGUGGUCGAGGGGAUGGUGACGAGAGUGAGGCGCCAUAGUGAAAGGAAGGACUGGUGAUGGUGAUGGGACUGAAGGAGACGGAUACAGAGAGACAAAUUCACUUUCGCUAAGAUUGUGAGGAGUCAUGAUCGUAUUCUGAAAGUGAUUUGUGGAUAUGAGACGAGAAUGAGUAUUGAUAGUGAUGACAGACAGACAGACAGACAGACUCAAACUCACAAACUAAUAGACAGACAGACACACAGACUCACAAGGGCCCAGAUAGACAGAAACAGACAGUCACAUUCUCCCCAAAAUAGACAGACACAGACAGACGGAGAGACAGACAGGCUAAAAAACACAGCUACAAAGAGACAGAUAGGCUCAAAAAAUAGACACAAACAGACAGACAAACAGGGAGACAAACAGACUCACGCAAUGGCGAAUAAUGGCCUCUUAAUUUUUUCCCCCCGUCCCCAAUGGCAGCGUUAAACCAUCGACUUAACCUCCAUCACACACGCGGAAUAGCCGAAAAGGGGGUCGGGGAGUGGGGGGGGUAAGGGGGAGGGGGGCAGAAGGGGGGCGGGGAGGGGGGGGGGUAAGGGGAAGGGGGGCUAGAGAGGGGGUCGUUUAAUUCUUUUCUUCCUUCUCCCUUACCCUCGCCGUGUUUAUUUUGAGCCUCGGGCCUGUCUGUCUGUCUACCUCCGUGCGGAAAAAGUAAAGAGCAAAGUAAAGUAAAAGUAAGGGAGUAAAGUAAAUGAGCAAGGUCGCCACGGGGAGGGAGGAGGAGGGAGCGAGCUAUCUUUUCUCUCUCAUCUUUACUUUUUUUUUCCUCUUUUUAUUUUUAGUUCUCGAGGGAAAGUAAAGGUUGAUAAUCUCCUCUUUGUCUUCUUCAUAACUCCUCCAGGUAUAGUGUGUGUGUGUGUGUGUGUGUGUGUGUGUGUGUGUGUGUGUGUGUGUGUGUGUGUGUGUGUGUUAGCCCCUUUUCUCCUCGCCUUCAGUCUUUUCUGCCGUCCCUCAAGCCAGUCACUUUAGGCGCCUCGUCCCUGGGCCAGAAAGUUAUUAUGAUAAGUCCUCAAGGCGGUAAAAAGUGACAGGCGCCGCUCAGGAUGGACGCGUGUGAGCGGCGACGGUUACAUUGCAUAUUUUUCUGAGGUCUCAAUCUAACCGUUAAUAGAACCUCAAUCCGUUUAUCUUACAAGAGCGAGAGGAACGUAUUGUAUUUCCUGGCCGUUCAGUCGUACCAUUAAUAGAAUCUCACUACAUUUAUCUUUCAACUCGAGUGUGAAGAACGUAUUAAAGUGUUUUCCAGCCGUUCAAUCUAACCGUUAAUAGAACCUCAAUCCGUUUAUCUUACAAGAGCGAGAGUAACGUAUUGUAUUUUCUGACAGUUCUAAGCUUACCAUUAAUAGAAUCUCACUACGUUGAUCUUCCGAGAGCGAGAGGAACGUAUUAAACUGUUCUCUUUACCGCCUUUUAUAGCUAUUUUACACGGUGUUUAACGUCAGUCUAAGUCUUAGUAUAACGUCUGAGAUAUAUAAUAGGCUUAACACAUCAUUAGGAGCGUGACAAAUAGUUUUCUUCGCUGUCUUCAACAAUGACUUUAAGUGUAGUAUUAUGAGACAUUUCGCCGUCCAAGAACACAUAUUUGACAAGGCUUUCGUAGGAGUUGUGGGCAUUUCCAGGGGUAGUUUUAUGACCCUGGUGGUAGUUUGAUCCUUCCUCUGUACCCUGAGCCUAAAAAAAACACGCAUUAGAACCUCAUUGAUCCCCCCUGUGAUCUUUAGAUAUAGCUGAUGUGAGAAGGCAGAGUGUCUUGUAAUACCAGCCUUAGUGUUCUUUUCAGUCACGUGUGGAGACGAAAUGUUAAAGUCUUGUCAAUGAUUAACUUAUUUCCUAACUUCCUCCUGUCCGUUUUGCGUCUUCUCUUCAGCGUAGGUUAUGUUAGGUUAGGGCAGGAUACUUUUUGGACAAAUAUUAAGUUUCAUUGUUUUAUUUUCCGUCGCGAGCGGAGAGGAAAUGUUGAAAAGCUUGUCAAUGAUCGUAACUUCUUUGCUAACUUCGUCUUGCAACUUCCACGUCCUCAGCAGCUUAGGUUAGGGCAGGUUACGGUUGGCUGAUUUUCGCGUAUUUUUUCUCCGUCACGAGCGAAGAGGAAGGAAGUGUUGAAAGGAACGUCAAUGAUCGUAACUUCUUUGCUAACUUCGUCUUGCAACUUCCACGUCCUCAGCAGCUUAGGUUAGGGUAGGUUAGGUUAGGCUGUUUAGUGGACAAAUUUUACUUAUAUUUUUCCCCGUCACAAAGGAAAAGGAAGGAAGUGUUAAGUCUUGUCAGUGAUCACAAUUUUCUAACUUUUAUGCUCAUCAGCUUAGGUUCGGGUAGGUCAGGGCAGGCUAAUUUUCGCGUAUUUUUUUUCUCCGUCAUGAGCGAAAAGGAAGUAAGUAUUAAAAGUCUUGUCAAUGAUCACAACUUUUCUAACUUCUCUUCCAACUUAGUGUCCUCAGCGCAGGUUGGUUGAGGCAGUUCAGGUCAGGCUGCUUAAUUGAGAGACAUUUUUCACCUGUUAUUUUCGCAUCGCUGGGGAGGCGGCAUUUAAAGUUCGGUCAAUACUCACGACUUCUUUUUUUCAACUGCCUCUUGUAUACCUUCUGCGUCUUCAUCAGCUUAAAUUAGGGUAGGUUAGGGUAGUUUAGGUUACGCUGCUGAUUUAGACAAUUUGUUACGUAUUUUUCUUUGCUUUACGUUUAAGAAGACAACAUUUAAACCUUGUAUCCUUGUAUACUUUCCGCGUCUUCAUCAGCUUAGGUUAGGGUAGGUUAAGGUUACGCUAUUUUUUUACAAUUUUUACGUGUUAUUCUUUGCUUCACGUGUAAGGCAAUAUUUAAACUUGUCAGUGGCCGCAUCUUCCUCCUGCACCUUCCGCGUCGUUAUCGUGAGGGGGGGGGGUGUAGGAGGGGUGAGAAGGAGUGGUAUGUAGGCAUUGAGGGGCGUGAGGGGCAGAGGGAGGCUUGGAUACGGGCGGCGUGACAUCCAUUGAUCAUCCACCAAGGGCGUGACCCGUGCCAGGCUCCCCUACUUAACUUGAAUCCUCGUCUAUAGCCCCUUCCUCCUCCUCCUCCUCCUCCUCCUCCUCCUCUUCGCCACAUGUUAUAUCCGGGGCACAGAGAACGAGAGAAGUGCGGAAUGUGUUAAAUGAUCAGAAAUAGAAGUCAUAAAAAAAAUAGGGAAAAAUGAGUGGGAUACAGAAACGUCCGGGGCAGAAAGAACGCGUGAGAGAGAGAGAGAGAGAGAGAGAGAGAGAGAGAGAGAGAGAGAGAGAGAGAGAGAGAGAGAGAGAGAGAGAGAGAGAGAGAGAGAGAGAGAGAGAGAGAGAGAGAGAGAG